CGCACCUUGCGCUCCUUGGCAUUCCGAGGAGCAUGCCUGUUUGAGUGUCACGUGAAACCCUCACCCUUGCAAUGUUAAUUCAUUGCCAGCGGUGGAUUUGGACUGUGCCGUUGUUGGCUCGUCCUGAAAUGCAUUAGCCGUGCGUGUCUUGCUUGCGCCUCUCCGGUGUGAUAAUUAUCUACGCCUUCCGAGGACAAAUGCCUGACUGCGGCUCACAACCGUCUUUGGACAACUUUCAUUAACGCUCUGGCCUCAAAUCAGGCAGGACUACCCGCUGAACUUAA
rnacentral:misc_RNA from 1 species